rnacentral:rRNA from 1 species
UAGGGAAUCUUCGGCAAUGGACGAAAGUCUGACCGAGCAACGCCGCGUGAGUGAAGAAGGUUUUCGGAUCGUAAAACUCUGUUGUUAGAGAAGAACAAGGACGUUAGUAACUGAACGUCCCCUGACGGUAUCUAACCAGAAAGCUACGGCUAACUACGUGCCAGCAGCCGCGGUAAUACGUAGGUGGCAAGCGUUGUCCGGAUUUAUUGGGCGUAAAGCGAGCGCAGGCGGUUUCUUAAGUCUGAUGUGAAAGCCCCCGGCUCAACCGGGGAGGGUCAUUGGAAACGGGGGGACUUGAGUGCAGAAGAGGAGAGUGGAAUUCCAUGUGUAGCGGUGAAAUGCGUAGAUAUAUGGAGGAACACCAGUGGCGAAGGCGGCUCUCUGGUAUGUAACUGACGCUGAGGCUCGAAAGCGUGGGGAGCAAACAGG